GGCGGCAGGCCUAACACAUGCAAGUCGAGCGCCCGUAGCAAUACGGGAGCGGCAGACGGGAGAGUAACACGUGGGAACGUACCCUUCAGUUCGGAACAACCCAGGGAAACUUGGGCUAAUACCGAAUACGUCCGUAAGGAGAAAGAUUUAUCGCUGAAGGAUCGGCCCGCGUCUGAUUAGCUAGUUGGUGGGGUAAUGGCCCACCAAGGCGACGAUCAGUAGCUGGUCUGAGAGGAUGAUCAGCCUCACUGGGACUGAGACACGGCCCAGACUCCUACGGGAGGCAGCAGUGGGGAAUAUUGGACAAUGGGCGCAAGCCUGAUCCAGCCAUGCCGCGUGGAUGAUGAAGGCCUUAGGGUUGUAAAGUCCUUUCGGCGGGGAAGAUAAUGACGGUACCCGCAGAAGAAGCCCCGGCUAACUUCGUGCCAGCAGCCGCGGUAAUACGAAGGGGGCUAGCGUUGCUCGGAAUCACUGGGCGUAAAGCGCACGUA
rnacentral:rRNA from 1 species